rnacentral:pre_miRNA from 2 species
UCCGGUCGAUGCAUCCGCCAACGAGGAGGCCGGGACCGUUGGAUCCGGUGACCCCGGCCUCAUUGUCGGUGGAUCCGGCCGCCCGGA